UUACUAUAUAACCACACCCACCGCAUUGCAGAAGCCACGAGCUGGGGAGAGGCGAAGUGGGGAAGGAGGGAGGGGAGAGAAGGAACAAGCAGGAACCCACGGGCGAGGCGGGGCGAGACAUAGCACGAUGCCAAGGCCACUUCCCAGGCACGGGCUGAGGGCGGAAGCUUCUUUCCCCGCGCCUGCGGCAGACUCUGCAAAGGAGUUAACCGCCCAAAGUUGAAGGAGGCCCAGCAGCAGCUCUUUACUAUUUCCGUGUUGCCCUUUCUGAGAAGUGCAACCAACAGGCAUGAUCGGAAGAGCAUGUUCAUUAUGCACUUCAAUUCAAGAGGCCAAUUAACUGCUUGUUGCUAAGUACAGACUGAGUACACAAGAAAAUGCCAAUGUGAGUACCCCCACACGUGUCAAUGUAGGAGAGUUAUUAUUUAUGAAUUCCCUUUUGUAUGUACCAAGAUGAUUUACAAAACAUAUAAUAAAAACAGCUAAAAUUAGUUUUUAAAACAGUACAAAAAUAACUCAAGAUGGUUUAUAAGCAAUACAACUAAGGCAGAAACCUUUGCAUCCAGUUGGGAAAAGCUUGUUGAGACAAAAAAAGUCUUCAGUUGUUUUCAGAAAGUGCAGAUAGUGGCCAUGUGUUGUACCUCAACAGGGAUGCUGUUGCACAGAACAGGGGAAGCCACACCAAAAACCUCUGCCCUGAGUUACUGUGGAGCAGGCUUCUGAUACUUUGAGGACUUGAAGGAGAAAGUCACUCUAGCCAUCAUCCAGGCUGUUUCCUAGCAUGUCGCGCUGCACUAUACCAGGUAGCAAAACGUGCUCCACAGUGUUAGAAUGGGCGCUAAGGAUUGCACUGUUCCACAGCAAGAUUAGGGCUUCUGCAGCUCUAUGCUCCACAAAUAAGGCACAUUCUUAAAAAUUUGCAGCCAUGUUCUCUGCUGUUUGGUUAAGAUUUGUCAGCAUUACUUGCCUGUUCUAGUACGCAGGGACAUCAUGCAGGGUUGGACUAGAAGACCCUUGGGUACCUUCCAACUCUAUGAUUCUAUGUGUUAUUUGAAACAUCUAUUUCAACAUAUUUCUGUGCCUUUUCCUAUCCAAAAUAUGCUAGGCAUUUGCUAACUUCAUUCUACCCUGCAUACCUUUUCUUCUUCUUCCUAGCACAGGUAUAUCUGUGGUGGCAUAAUUAAAAUACUUAUGGUGGCUGUUCCACUUGAAACACCCCACAAAGGUGCUAUACAUCAUAUACAUGGUAUCCAUUUUUCAAGACAAUCUAUAACACUUCCUUUAAAACUAGAAGCCGAGAGCCAGUCUGGUGUAAUGGUUAGAGUGUUGGAACAGGACCUGGGAGACCACAAAGUUUGAAUCCCCAUUCAGCCAUGAAGCGCACUGAGUGACCUUGGGCUAGUCACUAUCUCAUAGCCUAGCCUAUCUCAUAGGGUUGGUGUGAGGAUGAAAAGGGGAGGAAGAGGAGGACAAUCAUCUAUGCCACCUAGAGAUCCUUGGAAGAUAAAGGUGGUAUAUAAAUGCAAUAAAUAAAUAAAAUGAAAGCUGUAUCCAAUGUUACUCCUACUCAAAGUAAACCCACUGAAAAUAAUGAACAUGACUAACAUGGGUCUAUUCAUUUAUCUACUCCAAGUAUUAGCUAUAUCUCUGUUCCAUCACUCAUAUUCAGUUGAAGUUUCACUUUUAUCAAUUGUUGUGCUAAGUCAUUGAAACAAAAUGUUUCAGUUGCAUGCUCUGCAAUUCCCAAGACACCUACAAAUUGUCAGGAUUGGUGUGUUUUUUAUUCAGCUCUGUCAAGCAGAUGAAACUGUAAAGCUGUGCAAAGAGUAACAAAACCAGCAAGAAGCUAAUGACUUUCUAAGCAAUCAUCAUUUUAUCUCAGUCAAAGCCCAAAAGGCUUCUUAGGCACACACUCUGCAUUGACUCCACUUUCAGAAACACUAAGCUCAUUCUCUAAAGUCAAAAUUGUGUGGAUAAUCAAUCAGCUUCGAGGAACUUCAAUAUGCUCUAACCCAGUCAAAUUAAACAAAACAGGCAGGAAAUAAAGCAGAAUUAUUCCAAAAUUCUAAUUGGGGAGCAUGUUCAUCUGAUUGCCAGCUCCUAAGGUUUAGGAUCUAAGGGAUCACUAUUAUUUGUUAUUUGUGUGAGCACUCUGCUAUUCCGUUCCUGUUCUGGACUCUGUGCAACUUGAAUUCCUAUGAAUAGGUUGUCAUUGGAGGAUACAACUAGGUAAGAUUAAAUACAUAAUGUGAAAUAUCCAAUUUUUUUAGUCUAUAAACUCUGAGUUCUACCCAAAGUUGUCUUCCCUACUUCUGCCUGAUAGUCAUUAUUGGCAUUUUUAUCCAAGGUUCUCAUCACUUUCAAAUCCAAGAAUUCAUUAGUUCCUCUUUCCUCACCCCAAUAUAUCUGUUCCACACAAUGAGUGGUAUGCAACUAAGUUUUAUUCAGAGUAGAUUUAUUUAAAUUAAUAGACCUAACUUAGUCAUAUUAAUUGAUUUCAAUGUGUCUACUCAGAGUAAACCUUGAAAAUCAAACUAUAAAAGAAGUAAACAGGCAGGAACUUGGGAUACCCAGUUGCCUCAAAAUCAGCAAUAAUGAACACCAUGAGGUUUCUUGAAACUGGGCAUCCUAUGAUGUUAAUUUUCUUUACUAGUAAUGUGUUCCACAUCAACAUAUACUUAACCUAACCAAAUAAGAUUUGAGAGAAAUAGGAAUGCCUGCUUGGUCUCUUUAGAACAUCAUUCUCUUUCUUGAAUCCCAGCUGAAAAUGUAUCAUUGUAGUGAAUGUGAUAUUGUCAUAAUAUUUAAUUGAUUUGUCUGUGUAACAAAACCAUGAGACAAAAAUAAAAGCCAAUGAAGACUGA